rnacentral:rRNA from 1 species
GACGAACGCUGGCGGCGUGCCUAACACAUGCAAGUCGAACGGGACUUAGUGGAAAGCGGCUUCGGCCAAUGGAAGCUAAGUUUAGUGGCGAACGGGUGAGUAACGCGUGAGGAACCUGCCUUUCAGUGGGGGACAACAGUUGGAAACGACUGCUAAUACCGCAUAACAUAUUCGGACCGCAUGAUCUGAAUAUCAAAGCUUUAUGUGCUGAAAGAUGGCCUCGCGUCUGAUUAGCUAGUUGGUGGGGUAACGGCCCACCAAGGCGACGAUCAGUAGCCGGUCUGAGAGGAUGAACGGCCACAUUGGGACUGAGAUACGGCCCAGACUCCUACGGGAGGCAGCAGUGGGGAAUAUUGGGCAAUGGGGGGAAACCCUGACCCAGCAACGCCGCGUGAAGGAAGAAGGCCUUCGGGUUGUAACGUUCUUUAGUAGGACGAAGAACGUGACGGUACCUACAGAAAAAGACAACGGCUAACUACGUGCCAGCAGCCGCGG